GGAGCGGGGAUGGAGCGGGAACGGAGCGGGGAUGGAGCCGGGAUGGAGCGGGAACGGAGCGGGGAUGGAGCCGGGAUGGAGCGGGAACGGAGCCGGGAUGGAGCGGGAACGGAGCGGGGAUGGAGCGGGGACGGAGCGGGGAUGGAGCGGGAACGGAGCCGGGAUGAAGCCGGGAUGGAGCAGGGAUGCUCCGGGAACGGAGCGGGGAUGCUAUGGAGCGGCGCGCAGAGCCGGAGUUCCCGCUGCCAGGAGGAACCCGAGAAAAGGCUUUGGUUCCUCGGUCCCCGCUGCGGGAACUCCUCGGCUUCCCGGUGCGGAGGAUCCCGGGAAAAGGCGCCGGGUCCCUGGAUCCCCGGGCUCCCGGUGCAGAGAGUCCCUGGGUCCCCCCUGCGGAGGAUCCCGGGAGAAAGCGCCGGGUCCGGGAUCCCGGGAUCCCCGGUGCGGAGGGUCCCGGGAGAAGCGGCGGUGGAGAGCGGGGACGGCCGCGCUCUCUCGGCUCGGCGGGGAGGCAGCGGCGGUGCGGGUUCGUUCCCCGGCUCCGGGACGCUCCGGUUGCGCCCUCGGGUACCCGACACCUGCCGCCGGUAUCCCCCAGCCUCCCUCGGCAGCGAUAAAGGUUUUUUCGGGACUUCACGGGGAGUUUGGGAUGGUCCCGUGUGGGAGCUGGCUGCCCGCUCUCUCCCGUUCCCAGGUUCAGGGCUCAUGUCCGAAGCCCCGGGCGGUGAGAAAAAAUAUCGGAGACACAAAAGUUUCGUUUCUUUUGUCCCUUUCUUUAUUUUAGAGAAGGGAAAUGCUAAGGUGCCAUCCCAGACUCCCGACCCUUGCAGGCACGAGAAGCCAGCCAACCAUAACACCGCCCCUAAACCGAAAAUCCUUCUCCUUAACGAAAUGAAACAUCCCUUCCAAAACAAAGCUUUGAUCCCCGGGCUAAGAUCUUUUGGAGCAAGGCAAGGACGAGCCUGGCUGCAGAGCGUGGGAUCCACGGCUUUGUUCCCUGAGUCACCUGUGGCAGCUCGUCCAGGCUGGCCAGGCUUGAAAUAUGCAGAAAUCCAAAUGAUUUUUAACAGCUUGUCCUCCCUACGGUGGACGUGGCCUAAGACAAAGAAAACAGGGAUGAAAUGCCUGGCCGGGAGCCUUGCAGGAACAAAAACAGCCUUGUAA
rnacentral:lncRNA from 1 species